GAUGAACGCUGGCGGCGUGCCUAAUACAUGCAAGUCGAGCGAACAGACGAGGAGCUUGCUCCUCUGACGUUAGCGGCGGACGGGUGAGUAACACGUGGAAAACCUACCUAUAAGACUGGGAUAACUUCGGGAAACCGGAGCUAAUACCGGAUAAUAUAUUGAACCGCAUGGUUCAAUAGUGAAAGACGGUUUUGCUGUCACUUAUAGAUGGAUCCGCGCCGCAUUAGCUAGUUGGUAAGGUAACGGCUUACCAAGGCAACGAUGCGUAGCCGACCUGAGAGGGUGAUCGGCCACACUGGAACUGAGACACGGUCCAGACUCCUACGGGAGGAAGCGGUAGGGAAUCUUCCGCAAGGGGCGAAAGCUUGACGGAGCAACGCCGCGUGAGGGAUGAAGGUCUUCGGAUCGUAAAACUCUGUUAUUAGGGAGGAACAAAUGUGUAAGUAACGAUGCACGUCUUGACGGUACCUGAUCAGAAAGCCACGGCUAACUACGUG
rnacentral:rRNA from 1 species